AUUGAACGCUGGCGGCAGGCCUAACACAUGCAAGUCGAGCGGAGCGGCGGACGGGUGAGUAAUGACUAGGUAUCUGCCUGGGAGUGGGGGAUCACGUCCGGCAACGGGAGCUACUACCGCAUACUCUCAGCUGAGCCUCGGUAGGAUUAGCUAGUUGGUGGGGUAAAGGCCUACCAAGGCGACGAUCCGUAACUGGUCCGAGAGGAUGAUCAGCCACACGGGAACGGAGACACGGUCCAGACUCCGACGGGAGGCAGCAGUGGGGAAUAUUGCACAAUGGGCGCAAGACUGAUGCAGCCAUGCCGCGUGUAUGAAGAAGGCCUUCGGGUUGUAAAGUACUUUCAGCGGGGAGGCGUUACCCGCAGAAGAAGCACCGGCUAACUCCGUGCCAGCAGCCGCGGUAAUUC
rnacentral:rRNA from 1 species